rnacentral:snRNA from 1 species
CUCAUUUUUCAGUCUCUUGGCUAAGAUCAAGUGUAAUAUUUGUUUUACCAGUUCAAUAUUUGGUACAUUAACAAUAUGUUCACUUUGAUAUUAAAUUUAUUUAUUAUGAAUAUUUUUAUGUGAGGGUCCAUUCUCUACUAACUAUUAAGGGGGCAGUGUAGACUGCCCCCGCCUCAGCAGCCCAGCA